CAAGCGGGCGGAGCCUUUAGGGGUGACGGCGUGCCUUUUGCAUAAUGAGCCUACGAGUUGUUCUUAUUAGCGAGGUUAAGUUUUUAAGGAACGGAGCCGAAGCGAAAGCGAGUCUGAAUAGGGCGAUUAGUUAAUGAGAGCAGACGCGAAACUUGGUGAUCUACCCGUGGUCAGGUUGAAGUGUGGGUAACACCACAUGGAGGACCGAACCAGUAAACGUUGAAAAGUUUUUGGAUGAACUGCGGGUAGGGGUGAAAGGCCAAUCAAACUGAGAAAUAGCUCGUACUCCCCGAAAUGUUUUUAGGAACAGCGUUGUGGGGCGUUUGAGUCAGGUAGAGCUACCGAUAGGAUGCGGGGGAGUCAAAUCCUACCAAAUUCUGACGAACUCCGAAUGGGCUUAAAUAGACACAGCAGUGAGGGCCGGGGUGCUAAGGUCACGGUCCGAGAGGGGAACAACCCAGAGCAACCGCUAAGGUCCCUAAGUAUAUACUAAGUUGAACAAAGGAAGUCCGACUGCCGAGACAGCCAGGAUGUUAGCUUGGAAGCAGCUAUACAUUUAAAGAGUGCGUAACAGCUCACUGGUCGAGCGGGGCGGGCGUCGAUAAUAAACGGGCAUCAAGUAUAUCACCGAAGCGAUGCGAUAGUAAUAUCGGUAGGGGAGCAUUCCAACAUCAGCGAAGCUGUGGUGUAAACCAUGGUGGAGAGGUUGGAAAAGCAAAUGUAGGCAUAAGUAACGAUAAUGUAUGUGAGAACCAUACACACCGUAAAGCUAAGGAUUCCUCAGCUAUGUCAAUCAACUGAGGGUUAGUCGGGGCCUAAGGGGAAGGCGAAGGCCGCACCUGACGGACAGCAGGUUAAUAUUCCUGCACCUGAUGCAAGUGUGAAGCGCACGGGGUAAGGGAGAGUAUACGAAGUGACGGAAGUCUUCGUUGAGCAGCGUUUACGGACAAAGCGAAUACUUGAACCGGCCUCCAAGAAAAACCGCUGAAACAUCAGCUUGCAUGAGCCCGUACCGGAAACCGACACAGGUAGCUGGGUAGAAUAUACCAAGGUGCUCAAGUGAAUCACGGUUAAGGAACUCGGCAAAUUAGUCCUGUAACUUCGGGAAAAAGGACACUCGAGUAAAAUUGAGUCGCAGAGAAAUGGCCCAGGCGACUGUUUAACAAAAACACAGGGCAACGCAAAGUGGAGACACGCCGUAUGUUGCCUGACACCUGCCCGGUGCUGGAAGGUUAAGAGGGGAGCUUAGCGCAAGCGAAGGUUUGAAUCGAAGCCCCAGUAAACGGCGGCCGUAACUAUAACGGUCCUAAGGUAGCGAAAUUCCUUGUCGGGUAAGUUCCGACCUGCACGAAUGGUCUAAUGAGUUGAACACUGUCUCCUCCACGAGCCCGGUGAAAUUGUAGUAUCGGUGAAGAUGCCGGUUACCCGUCACGGGACGGAAAGACCCCGUGCACCUUUACUACAACUUUGCGUUGAACAUGGGAUAUGAAUGUGUAGGAUAGGUGGGAGGCUUUGAAGGGGGUUCGUCAGGAUUCCUGGAGCCAACGUUGAAAUACCACCCUUUUGUAUUCUGUGUUCUAAUUCGAUACGAAGACCGCGCAUGGUGGGUAGUUUGACUGGGGUGGUCGCCUCCAAAAGAGUAACGGAGGCUUC
rnacentral:rRNA from 1 species